GAUGAACGCUGGCGGCGUGCCUAAUACAUGCAAGUCGAGCGAACGGACGAGAAGCUUGCUUCUCUGAUGUUAGCGGCGGACGGGUGAGUAACACGUGGAUAACCUACCUAUAAGACUGGGAUAACUUCGGGAAACCGUAGCUAAUACCGGAUAAUAUUUUGAACCGCAUGGUUCAAAAGUGAAAGACGGUCUUGCUGUCACUUAUAGAUGGAUCCGCGCUGCAUUAGCUAGUUGGUAAGGUAACGGCUUACCAAGGCAACGAUGCAUAGCCGACCUGAGAGGGUGAUCGGCCACACUGGAACUGAGACACGGUCCAGACUCCUAAGGGAGGCAGCAGUAGGGAAUCUUCAGCAAUGGGCGAAAGCCUGACGGAGCAACGCCGCGUGAGUGAUGAAGGUCUUCGGAUCGUAAAACUCUGUUAUUAGGGAAGAACAUAUGUGUAAGUAACUGUGCACAUCUUGACGGUACAUAAUCAGAAAGCCACGGCUAACUACGUG
rnacentral:rRNA from 1 species